rnacentral:lncRNA from 1 species
UGUCUCUUUGUCUGGCUUCCUUACAGCGGGUGACUGAUUGUCCCUGCCAGCUGGCUAAUAUCAUAAUUAGCAAAGUUGCUACCACAUCUGCAAAGUUUAAUCGAAAAAUUUACCAGUGGUAUGAUGGCAUUGUCACCAUGAUCCUAAGGGAAUCGGAGUCGACUUCUGCUUCAAGAGGAAUGGCAAGGCUGUAGAGCUGAGAUGAGAAACUGUAAACUUGCUCAGCCAAAGGAAAUAAUAUGCUCCAGAGAAUCCUCUAAUUCACCGAAAAUGGACUUGGAUAACAUUUGGGUUCUCAUACUACCACAGUCCUCUUGAGAAGGACAGGCAGGAGGCUAAUAAUGAAGGGGCCAGGGAAAGAGGCCAAUGCUACAGGGUUAUCUCCUAACCUCAGAUGUUGGAUAAGUCCACGGAAACAGCAGCGCUUCAGGAUGGCUUCAGAAAGGCUGGAGUGAUUGUUUGGAAGAGAAAAACCUGCCUAUUCAUUCAAAGGUACAUGAAUGUUGUCGAGACUGUCCCAUCUAAAGAAUCCUGCCUUAGACAAAGGAUGCGCUUGGAGCCUCACCACACCUAAAACCACGCUUUGAAGGGUCUGCCAAGCUCACUUUUAAUCAUGAGAAAGAAAUUACCCACAUGGAGACAGCAGAAAAUGAGAAAGUAGAGAUCGUGCUGCGAAUAAUUCCAGCGAGUGCCAAGGGGCUAGUUGAGGAAUGGCUUCAUGAGAUGUUAGUCUAUCUAGAACAACAGAUUUGGAUCUAAGCUGGACCUUUGAGAAAGAAAAGACUUCGAGGAAAGACACCUUUACAUGUGUUUUAAUUACCUUUCACCUGAAUUGUUUAAUGCACACUAUCCAAACUAUAUUCAUCUGUCUUGCUUCCUGUGUAUUUCUUCUUUUGCUUGAACUGCUUUAGUAUUGACUAUUAAACUACACAGUCAUUCUGGAUUUUUAAAAAGAGAAUUCUAAUAAAAACUUAUAUAUGUUGUUAA